GUCUGGACGGUGGGCGGGGGAGGGUGCGCGCGUCUGGCUCGUGACACAGGGCGCGUGGCUGGUGCCGAUCCAGAGUGGUGGCCCGAACACGUGACGAAGCACGCGGACGGACGUAGGCGAUACAGUGAGCGAAGACCCAGGCGCGAUGGUGGCGAUGUGGACCUGACCCCGCAGCCAUGACCUGCUCUACACUGGAACUCAUCAGCCCCCGGGCGCACUACGCUACUCAGGUUCUGGCCACACUGGCCGUCUCGAUGGGCCCGCUGGCGGUCGGGCUGGGCAAGGGCUACAGUUCGCCGGCGCUGGCCUCGCUGGCCGGGCCGGCGUCGCUGGGCGGCCUGGCCAUCUCGCCGGAG